UUAUUUCGGUGAAAUCUAAGUGUUAAGUGAUAAUAGGUUUUUAGUCAAUUAUCCAAAAACACCAAUCAUGUCGUUGUAGUAUUUUAGGUUGUCAAUCCAAAUAGGUGUGAUGCAAACAGAUGAGAUGUGAUCAGAAGUCACUAAGUCAAGCCAAGCAAUAACAGUUUUGGGGUUUCUAACAGUCCUAAGCGAACAUGCAGAAAACAGAAACAAUAACAGAAUUACUAAAAUCACUCAACCACAACAGGCUGAUGCCAGAAGUAAGAUAUGGUCGAGUAACAGACAGGAAAUAUGACAACUGUACUCGACUGCAUAGUCUGUUGCCAGACACUGAGUGUGGUCGAGUAAGUUGAUCGAGUAAUUGCAAAAACGAAGAGACAUGCAAUGAGAACAAUUAAGCGAUAACGAUAAAACAGAGAAAUCAAAUAGACGAGAAAUUCCUAAGGAUGGGGUAAUCGAAUAAAGUGGUAUCCUAGCCUAUCCGAAUGGUUAACAAGCGCAAUCAAGCUAUCCCUAGACAACAUGUUCAACAAU
rnacentral:sRNA from 1 species